rnacentral:piRNA from 1 species
UGCACCAUUGGACUCUGGACAGGUGAUC